rnacentral:rRNA from 1 species
UACGUAGGGGGCAAGCGUUGUCCGGAUUUAUUGGGCGUAAAGAGCGUGUAGGCGGCUUUACAGGUCCGUUGUGAAAACUCGAGGCUCAACCUCGAGACGCCGGUGGAAACCGUAAAGCUAGAGUCCGGAAGAGGAGAGUGGAAUUCCUGGUGUAGCGGUGAAAUGCGCAGAUAUCAGGAAGAACACCCGUGGCGAAAGCGGCUCUCUGGAACGGUACUGACGCUGAGACGCGAAAGCGUGGGGAGCGAACAGG